AGGCCACUGCUAUGGGGGUCCGACUAAGCCAUGCGAGUCAUGGGGCGCCUUGCGCGCACCGGCGGACGGCUCAGUAACACGUCGGUAACCUACCCUCGGGAGGGGGAUAACCCCGGGAAACUGGGGCUAAUCCCCCAUAGGCCUGAGGUACUGGAAGGUCCUCAGGCCGAAAGGGGCUUUGCCCGCCCGAGGAUGGGCCGGCGGCCGAUUAGGUAGUUGGUGGGGUAACGGCCCACCAAGCCGAAGAUCGGUACGGGCCAUGAGAGUGGGAGCCCGGAGAUGGACACUGAGACACGGGUCCAGGCCCUACGGGGCGCAGCAGGCGCGAAACCUCCGCAAUGCGGGCAACCGCGACGGGGGGACCCCCAGUGCCGUGGCAUCGCCACGGCUUUUCCGGAGUGUAAAAAGCUCCGGGAAUAAGGGCUGGGCAAGGCCGGUGGCAGCCGCCGCGGUAAUACCGGCGGCCCGAGUGGUGGCCGCUAUUAUUGGGCCUAAAGCGUCCGUAGCCGGGCCUGUAAGUCCCUGGCGAAAUCCCACGGCUCAACCGUGGGGCUUGCUGGGGAUACUGCAGGCCUUGGGACCGGGAGAGGCCGGGGGUACCCCUGGGGUAGGGGUGAAAUCCUAUAAUCCCAGGGGGACCGCCAGUGGCGAAGGCGCCCGGCUGGAACGGGUCCGACGGUGAGGGACGAAGGCCAGGGGAGCGAACCGGAUUAGAUACCCGGGUAGUCCUGGCUGUAAAGGAUGCGGGCUAGGUGUCGGACGAGCUUCGAGCUCGUCCGGUGCCGAAGGGAAGCCGUUAAGCCCGCCGCCUGGGGAGUACGGCCGCAAGGCUGAAACUUAAAGGAAUUGGCGGGGGAGCACUACAAGGGGUGGAGCGUGCGGUUUAAUUGGAUUCAACGCCGGGAACCUCACCGGGGGCGACGGCAGGAUGAAGGCCAGGCUGAAGGUCUUGCCGGACACGCCGAGAGGAGGUGCAUGGCCGCCGUCAGCUCGUACCGUGAGGCGUCCACUUAAGUGUGGUAACGAGCGAGACCCGCGCCCCCAGUUGCCAGUCCUCCCCGUUGGGGAGGAGGCACUCUGGGGGGACCGCCGGCGAUAAGCCGGAGGAAGGAGCGGGCGACGGUAGGUCAGUAUGCCCCGAAACCCCCGGGCUACACGCGCGCUACAAUGGGCGGGACAAUGGGAUCCGACCCCGAAAGGGGAAGGGAAUCCCCUAAACCCGCCCCCAGUUCGGAUCGCGGGCUGCAACUCGCCCGCGUGAAGCUGGAAUCCCUAGUACCCGCGUGUCAUCAUCGCGCGGCGAAUACGUCCCUGCUCCUUGCACACACCGCCCGUCACUCCACCCGAGCGGGGUCUGGAUGAGGCCUGAUCUCCCUUCGGGGAGGUCGGGUCGAGUCUGGGCUCCGUGAGGGGGGAGAAGUCGUA
rnacentral:rRNA from 1 species